rnacentral:rRNA from 1 species
GACGAACGCUGGCGGCGUGCCUAAUACAUGCAAGUCGAGCGGACUUUCAAGAAGCUUGCUUUUUGAAAGUUAGCGGCGGACGGGUGAGUAACACGUGGGCAACCUGCCUGCAAGACGGGGAUAACUCCGGGAAACCGGGGCUAAUACCGGAUAAUAUCUUCCUUCGCAUGAAGGAAGGUUGAAAGGCGGCGCAAGCUGCCGCUUGCAGAUGGGCCCGCGGCGCAUUAGCUAGUUGGUGAGGUAACGGCUCACCAAGGCGACGAUGCGUAGCCGACCUGAGAGGGUGAUCGGCCACACUGGGACCGAGACACGGCCCAGACUCCUACGGGAGGCAGCAGUAGGGAAUCUUCCGCAAUGGACGAAAGUCUGACGGAGCAACGCCGCGUGAGCGAAGAAGGUCUUCGGAUCGUAAAGCUCUGUUGUCAGGGAAGAACAAGUACCGUUCGAACAGGGCGGUACCUUGACGGUACCUGACCAGAAAGCCACGGCUAACUACGUG